rnacentral:rRNA from 1 species
GUUAGAUUAGCUAGUUGGUGAGGUAAUGGCUUACCAAGGCUAUGAUCUAUAGCUGGUCUGAGAGGACGAUCAGCCACACUGGAACUGAGAUACGGUCCAGACUCCUACGGGAGGCAGCAGUGGGGAAUAUUGGACAAUGGGCGAAAGCCUGAUCCAGCUAUGCCGCGUGAGUGAAGAAGGCCUUCGGGUUGUAAAGCUCUUUCAAUAGGGAAGAUAAUGACGGUAC